CAGCAGCCGCGGGAAAACGUAGGGUGCAAGCGUUGUCCGGAAUUAUUGGGCGUAAAGAGCUCGUAGGCGGUUUGUCGCGUCGGCUGUGAAAACCUGGGGCUCAACCCCGGGCCUGCAGCCGAUACGGGCAAACUAGAAUUCGGUAGGGGAGACUGGAAUUCCUGGUGUAGCGGUGAAAUGCGCAGAUAUCAGGAGGAACACCGGUGGCGAAGGCGACUCUCUGGUCUGUAACUGACGCUGAGGAGCGAAAGCGUGGGGAGCGAACAGGAUUAGAUACCCGCGUAGUCCCUGUCUCUUAUAC
rnacentral:rRNA from 1 species